UUUUCAGUGUGCAGUAAUGAACAGACUAACCGUGACCUGACACGAGGCUGUCGGACCCCCAGGGAACGACGUGUGUGUGUGUGCGUGCACGUGUGUGUGUUACAUCUUGCCCUCAGCUCUUUCUCUCUCUGAAGGUAUGUGCUGUGAUAUAAAUCAAACAGACAGAUGUCUCUGGUGAGAUCAGCGGUUGGGCCCUCGCUGCUUUAACCCUUUAACCGAUUCCCACAGACGAGUUAGCAAGGACGCAUGCAGCAGGCUGGUAAAUGACAGUAUUCAGCUGUGUUAGGACCAGGGAUCUACCUCCACUCCAGCAUGUCUUCUAUCACUGGAACAGGAGAGGCAGACGAGAUUAUUUUUAAAGAAUCAUCUCCUUGCCUCACCUGCCUGCCUUCCUGCCCUUACACCACCACGGGAUCUUCACCGCUCAGGACAGCUGACACACACCACCAAACCCACCCGGACCGCACCAACUCUCCUUCAACGCUUCCAUCUCCCACCUGCACAUACAUACCUAAUCACCAGCCAGCUGCUGUUGCUUUCUUGGACCUGUCCCCUUUCUUUAUCCCUCUCCCCUGGCCAAGACCCUCACGCCCCAUGUGUCAAGCCUUAAGUCAAGUGUCAUAGUAAACAUCAUUCUUGUGCUAAUUAAUAAACCUUUGUUAAACCCUU